rnacentral:tRNA from 1 species
GAGCAGUUGACUUUUAAUCAAUUGGUCGCAGGUUCGAAUCCCGCACGACCCACCAUUAUAUCCGGCACCUCAG